rnacentral:rRNA from 1 species
AUUGAACGCUGGCGGCAGGCCUAACACAUGCAAGUCGAGCGAGCGGCGGACGGGUGAGUAAUGUAUGGGGCCUGCCCGAUAGAGGGGGAUAACUACUGGACACGGUGGCUAAUACCGCAUACUAUCGGAUAACCCAUAGGGGAUUAGCUAGUAGGUGGGGUAAAGGCUCACCUAGGCGACGAUCUCUAGCUGGUCUGAGAGGAUGAUCAGCCACACUGUGACUCACACAAGCCCCAGACUCUGCCGGAGGGAGCAGUGGGGAAGAUUGCACAAUGGGCGAAAGCCUGAUGCAGCCAUGCCGCGUGUAUGAAGAAGGCCUUAGGGUUGUAAAGUACGUGCAGCGGGGAGGCGUUACCCGCAGAAGAAGCAACGGGUAACUCCGUGCCAGCAGCCGCGGUAAUUC